rnacentral:rRNA from 1 species
AUUGAACGCUGGCGGCAGGCCUAACACAUGCAAGUCGAGCGCGCGGCGGACGGGUGAGUAAAAUCUCGGAAACUGCCUCAUGGAGGGGGAUAACAACUGUAAACGGUAGCGAAUACCGCAUACCCUCAGAUGUGCCCACAUGGGAUUCGCUAGUAGGGGGGGUAACGGCGCACCUAGGCGACGAUCCCUAGCUGGUCUGAGAGGAUGACCAGCCACACUGGAACUGAGACACGGUCCAGACUCCUACGGGAGGCAGCAGUGGGGAAUAUUGCACAAUGGGCGCAAGCCUGAUACAGCCAUGCCGCGUGUGUGAAGAAGGCCUUCGGGUUGUAAAGCACUUUCAGCGGGGAGGCGUUACCCGCAGAAGAAGCACCGGCUAACUCCGUGCCAGCAGCCGCGGUAAUAC